UCUAUACCAGCAAUUAAUACAGAGCCCAUCAAUAUUAAGUAUUAAUCAAUAUUGAUUGAUUGAUUCAUUUGGGACCAGACUUCCUCUGAAGAAGCAAAUUCUUUUCCUUCCCUUUAUUUUCUUUAUUGUCUUUGGGUUGGAGCAGACUUUUAAAUAUUUCAAAAGAAAAAGUAGCCUAUGAGCAUUUGUUUGUUGAUUUACAAUCAUGUCUUUGGGAGUUGAUGCAAUCUCUGUCAUCAUCUAUGAAAACUUAGAAAAGACUAUUAAUUAUAAUCUUGUUUAAGAGCUAUGCCAGUUAAAUUUUGCUGAGACUUGUUGCUAUAAACACUAUGGUGUGGCAAUAUAAGGACAGUAAUUUCUUCAAUCAUCAGAGAACUAUGCUUUGGCAAGCAUAGAUUGCCAAAAUCUCAUUUGAGAACAACAAAUAUUUAAGUAGGAUAAACUGGAAAAUGUAGGGAAGGCAAAAAAGGAAUGUUUAUAUUUAUUAAUUCUUUGGGAUGUGUGAAGUUUCUCAGUCAACUUGGAGGAAUUUUAAGGCACCUAACCAUUGUCUGGCUGAAGGACUAAUUUUAUCUUUUGGUUCAAUGUAUAAACAGAAAGCUAUGCUAGCUUUGCAGUCAGUAGAAAAAUAAGCAAACUAGCAAACGUUAUCUCUGGCAGAUAAGAAGAGAAUUAGCAUGGGACAACAACUAAGUCCUCAAGAGAGAAUCAAUCUGCUUUAUUUUUCUUAAGCCUCUUUCAGAAUACAGUAAAAGGAUUUCUCUCUCAUCUCCAUUGACAAUGGCAUCCUGCAAUAUAAGAACUUAACUGGUAGGAGUUACUUCAAUCAGCAGUGAGCAGAUCCAGAAAGUCAAAUUGCAAAAAGGAGGAUAAAGAACCCAUUGAAGUGACCUGCCUGUCAGAUGUCAUUCAGGAGGAAAAUAGUGGAGAUAAUACUAGAAGAAAAAAGACAUAGGGACCCUGGAAGGAUUAGAGAGUCACUAGGACUCCAUUGGGGUGAAGACUUCAUUCUCUAAGCCCUUUAUUGCCUUCUUGAUGAACUCAAUAAUUGUUUAUAGAACAUUACAGAGAUAUGCUGCACCUGAUUGGGUAUAGCCUCACAGUCCAGCUUACAACAAGCGACAGCCACAGAAAAGGCCACCUCAGCUAUCAAGAACAAUCCAUUAAAUUUCUCAGGAGGAAUUCAGGAGGUUUUCUUGCAAGUGUAGAGAAGAGACCCUAACUGUUCUUUCCAGGCCUCUUAUUAGACUGUAUUUAACUUUAAUUCCAAAAUACACCCUUUUCAUUUCAAUAACAAUUCCUUUUAUGCUGUGUUUGCUUAGCAAGUUUAUUAAAGGAGUAUUUUUUGAGACAGAUUUUCAGACAAGGAAUACUAGAGCAGCUGGAUUGAAAGAAGGAAGAUUCUCCCAAGGGCAUGUUUUCAAGCUGAAGAGGAAAAAAAAGAUUCUUUAAUCUCUUUGGGAGAAGAAAAAUCAGGUUCCAAUCACUUCUUGGAUUUUAUAUUUGGAAAAACUGAGGAUAAGAAUUUGAUGAGGAUAUCUGCUUUAUUGUAGAAGAAGAAACCAUCCUCUCUAAAUCCCAAGAACAAACAAAUAAAAACUAGUGGAAAUCAUUUUAUAAUAGCUUCUAUUAGAAACUCAUGUAAGAGAAAGUUAAGAAGAAUCAGAUUUUUGAGAGUUUGAUUUUGUUCAAAUUUAUAUGUUAGGGGCACCUAGUUGACACAAUGGAUAGAGCACCAACCCUGGUCAGGAGGACCUGAGUUCAAAUCUGGUCUCAGACAUUUAAUACUUCCUAGCUGUGUGACCUUAGGCAAGUCACUUAACCCCAAUUGCCUCAAAAAAAAUUGUAUGCUACAAUUUUUACAAAAAAAAGCGUUAUCACAAUAUAACUGUAUGAUACUUGGAUAUUAAAAAAUAAGCAUUAAGAGUACAAAUAAUCAGUACAAUGUAUUUAUAUUUCUUUACACAAAAUACAAUUUUUUGAACCAAAUAUGAAUCUUGUCACUUUCCUUCUCUUAAUGUUUAAAAUAAGAUAUCACACAUUAAAGAUAUUUAUAAUAUGUGUCUAAGUGAAGGAAAGACUUAGGAUCUGAGCAGUGAGAAUAAAGUUGCUAUCUUAACUAUUUGAAGUAUCUUCAAUGGAAAGGGGAUAAAUUAUUUCUUCUUUUCCAUCAUCGAUAAAACAGGAGUAAAUAUUAUAGGGAGAAAUAAAAAUCCUUUUGCACAAGUGCUUGGUAAAUAAUAGAUUGUCUCAAUUUUAAAUCCUUGGCAAUUGGGAAAAUUGAAAUGGGCUUCUUUAAAAAGUAGUAUCUUUUUCAUUUGUGGAGUUAUUUAGAGAAAGGAUGCAUGACCAAUAAAUCAGUCAAUUCAUAAACAUUUAUUAAGAUCCUACUUUGUUUUAAACACUAUGCUAAGUACUAGGAAAACAAAAAAAAAAUAGUUCCUCCCUUAAAUAAAUUUACAAACUAAUGAAAUAUUGGGGAUAUUGUAGAAAGGAAUUCAUUUGUCAGAUAAGGUUUGGGCUAGAUGACCUUUGAAUUCCCUUCCAAAUCUAAAAUUCUGUGCUAACUCUUGUCUUCUCUAGAAAAUAACUUUUUAAACAUAAAAUUCUAAUUUUAAUUUGCUGACAAACAACAGUCAGAAAAUGAAAGGUAUAGAUUUCUG